AAGUAAUUGUGUUACGUGGAGAAUCACUUCAUUUUAAUUCAUCUACAUGUAGAAAUGAGAGAAAAUAUAUAUGUCUCUCAGAAGACGACGGCGGCGCACUUGUAUGGAAUGACAACUUACUUUAUAAUCAAUAUCAGCGAGAAAAUCCUACUGACUUGAAGUUUUACAGUACACAUCUAUACAAUACCUGGAUAAAUUGCAGUUUUAACGCAAAAAUAAAAUGUUUACAAUCACAACCUCGAAUAAGCACGGAACCACCAUCACUACAAGGCUUCUACUUACUAAAAGAUUGGAAAAAUUGCACACUGUACACAACAAUAAGCUGUUUAGAUUUAUGGGAUCGAAAAAACUAGAGUCUUACAAAUGCUACGAGAACACCUAUGGGUCCCGUAUUUGAUCAAAGAUGGGAAGAAUUUGAAGGCUCAAGCCCACCUACCAUCAAAAUUCCUUUGUCUUCCACAACAACUAUAAAAAAUAUUCCAAAAGCAGGAGCG